CAGGAACAUAGCUGACACUCUGCUGGGACAUUGCUUGUGGGAGGCAGAGCACCUGAAAAGCACCAGCAUCGCUGCUCUGUGGCCUUGGAUCCACUGAGCGGUGUCAAAGUUUUACUUUACCAAGCACCCCAGACAAGAGAAUUUGCUUGAAGUCACAGUCAAGCUGGGAAACAUAUAUAUUUAGGACAUCAUCUCAGAAUACUGUAAUUAUAAUGUAAUUCUGCCCCCAGCUGGUUAAGACAUAGCUGACAUAGGAGACUGAAAGUGAGAGAAUACUGAACCUAUGAACUCUGCUUCUUCUCAGAUGAUGACUACAAUUUGCAUGCAAAGUAUCAGCAGCUUUACUGUUCA
ensembl:lncRNA